AGUUCCCACUGAAACUGAUUGACAAAAAGGGCCUGGCACCUCUCUCUUCUCUCUCUUUCUCUCUCUCACCAUGUGAUCUAUGCAUGCCUGUUCCCGUCUGCUUGCACUAAGAAUGGAAACAGCCUAAGUUCCUCACCAGAAGCAGAGGCUGGCACCAUGUUUGUUAUGCAGCCUGCAGAACCAGAAAUCAUGGGAAAAACUGCCCAUUUCUGUUUUGUCCACUUUGCUUUGGGAAGUGAGAGCUAUAGUCAUUAUCACCACAUCCCCUGGCAUCCAAUUCCACAUUCUACCUCAGAAGUUAUUUGGAGGAAUCCAAGGACUUAGAUAUUUUACCAAUGUCUCUGGUGAUUUUUAUAUCGGUGGCCCAUGGGUGUUGACCUAUGAAACUGCUCUGCAGCAGAUAUUGAGAAAUAGGAGUUCAGUAAAUCCUGUGGCCUAUGGUUUCUCAGAAGACAGAGAUGGAACAAAC
rnacentral:lncRNA from 10 species